rnacentral:rRNA from 1 species
UACAGAGGGUGCAAGCGUUGUUCGGAAUUAUUGGGCGUAAAGCGCGAGUAGGCGGACAGGCAAGUUAGGUGUGAAAGCCCUCGGCUUAACCGAGGAAGUGCGCCUAAAACUACUUGGCUUGAGUACCGGAGAGGAUGGUGGAAUUCCCGGUGUAGAGGUGAAAUUCGUAGAUAUCGGGAGGAACACCAGCGGCGAAGGCGACCAUCUGGACGGAUACUGACGCUGAGACGCGAAAGCGUGGGGAGCAAACAGG